ACUUCAGUGACACCGUGCAUGAAAAUAAUUUAAAAAAAAAAAGACUCAUUAACCUCCGGAUUAAAAGAAAUACUCUGGAGUAAGCAUUAGCCCAUUUUUGCGCCAAAUUUGAGUAACUUCUUAAUAAUUUAAUAAUAUUACAUAAUAUUUAUUCAGUAUAUUAAUUUUCAGAGGAUUUUUUCUAUGAUCUUAGCGUUUCUUAAUUUUUAAAAAUCCUUUAAAACAUGUUUUCGAAUAGUAUUAAGUUCGUAUUUUACAUUUUCCGUGUUAUUUUCAGUGUGUUGAACAAUUUUGCGAGAACUGGCGAACACGACUAGGCCUAAGAAUGCCUAACAUCUAGUGACGUAUCAUAAAAAUAUUGCUUUUUUUUAUCAUGUUGGCAGACACAUAGUUAACUUAGAUUUAAUCAUACACUUGGCAGACACAUAGUUAACUUAGAUUUAAUCAUACACUUGCAGUUAGGCCUAAAUAAUAUUAAAUAUCAUAAUAGGCCUAAUCAAUAGCAGUUUGAAUUUAGUUUUGUAAUUCUGGUAGCAGAUUUUCAAUUUACUAUAAAAUCUAUUAGGCCUAUUUUCCUUUAUUUUUCCAUGCCUUGUAGAAAUUAAAUAUAUGACACUGUUUUUCUUUUCCAUAAAGGCUACAGCAAUCAUGAGGAAUCAGGGUUAAGUCUUAGUUCACUAUGGCUAACUGGUAUAAUUCAUUUAUCAAGUUAUAUCUGACAUACAGACCAGCAAAAGGAAUAGGUCUAUUUAUAUGGUGUGGAAGCUGCACAGCUAACGACUCGUCAGUUUAACAUAAGAGAUGUUGGAUGGCAAAGUGUAGUGAAGACUUGGUUAUCUGAGCUCUGCUUAAGGAACAACAUGCAUCUGAUAAUGCUGAUAUCCAUAGUGAGCAGACAGUAAGACUGUACAAUGAAAUUUAAUAUCUUGAUGUCGCAUUAAUUACAGGAAAUUCAGUUAUAAUAAUUCAGCUAAUGGAAUAGUGCCAAAUUUUCUCAUCUUCUGUUAUGUCUUAUGUCCUAUUGAUGAUGUUGAUGAUGUCUAUUUUUAGUCAUGUAGGCUUUGCAAUUCUAAAACUUAGGUUUAUUAAAAUUUAUCCAGGAUGUUUUAACUGGUGUUGUUACUUGUUAUGGUUUGACAUUUUUUCAUUAUUGAAUAAACUUUGUUUUAUUUAUAACAUUUCUUUCUAUUCCUGUGCAUCAAAGCUAUGAUUAAAACACUACUAUUAAUAUUAGCAUGGAGUUAUGUUACAAAUGCUUUUCACAAGCAUACUCUUACUAUUUCUUUAUGGGUAUUAAUUACUAUUAGUAUUUGGAAAUAGCUAGACUAUAUGGAAUUGGCUUACUAUUUAUCCAACUUUAAAAAAAAAAUCCAAAUAAACAUGACAUGAAACUGCUUAAACAGUGUUGUCGCAUAAUUUCCACCACCCCAGGUACAGUACACUACAUCUACAUGUAUUACAA